rnacentral:rRNA from 1 species
GUGGGGAAUUUUGGACAAUGGGCGCAAGCCUGGUCCAGCAAUGCCGCGUGCAGGAAGAAGGCCUUCGGGUUGUAAACUGCUUUUGUACGGAACGAAACGGUCCUGGUUAAUACCCUGGGCUAAUGACGGUACCGUAAGAAUAAGCACCGGCUAACUACGUGCCAGCAGCCGCGGUAAUACGUAGGGUGCAAGCGUUAAUCGGAAUUACUGGGCGUAAAGCGUGCGCAGGCGGUUUUGUAAGACAGGCGUGAAAUCCCCGGGCUCAACCUGGGAAUUGCGCUUGUGACUGCAAGGCUGGAGUGCGGCAGAGGGGGAUGGAAUUCCGCGUGUAGCAGUGAAAUGCGUAGAUAUGCGGAGGAACACCAGUGGCGUAAGCGGCUAUCUGGACGAGUAUUGACGCUGAGGCACGAAAGCGUGGGGAUCAAACAGGAUUAGAAACCCGAGUAGUCC